GGGUGGUUAGCUCAGUCGGUAGAGCUUAGGGCUUGCGACAGGGAGGACCGGGUUCGAAUCUCGCAAGAGGCG
rnacentral:tRNA from 1 species